GACGAACGCUGGCGGCGUGCUUAACACAUGCAAGUCGAGCGAUGAAGCUCCUUCGGGAGCGGAUUAGCGGCGGACGGGUGAGUAACACGUGGGUAACCUGCCUCAUAGAGGGGAAUAGCCUUCCGAAAGGAAGAUUAAUACCGCAUAAGAUUGUAGUACCGCACGGUACAGCAAUUAAAGGAGUAAUCUGCUAUGAGAUGGACCCGCGUCGCAUUAGCUAGUUGGUGAGGUAACGGCUCACCAAGGCGACGAGUCGUAGCCGACCUGAGAGGGUGCUCGGCAACAUUGGGACUGAGACACGGACCAGACUCCUACGGGAGGCAGCAGUGGGGAAUAUUGCACAAUGGGGGAAACCCUGAUGCAGCAACGCCGCGUGAGUGAUGACGGUCUUCGGAUUGUAAAGCUCUGUCUUCAGGGACGAUAAUGACGGUACCUGAGGAGGAAGCCACGGCUAACUACGUGCCAGCCGCCGCGGUAACAC
rnacentral:rRNA from 1 species